GUGCCUUUAUGCACACCUCAACACCCUCUCGAGGCCUUUGGUUUGGCUUUGUGGCGACACAGUGGGUAUUUGUGCCCUGUGUGCUGUGCCACUCACUUCCCUCCCCAUUCUGUCAGCCACAGCUGUUGGGGUCUGUCCUGGGCAGCCUGCGCUCUGUCCUGUGGAUGCACUGUGCCUGCCCAGCUAUUCCCCGGAUGAGGAGGCUGCACCGGUUUUUUGCUGUUAUAAAUGCACCUGCUGAAGCGGGCACGGGAGACUGAGGUGCAGCUGAAGCCGCUGGUGGAGAAGAACAAGCGCAUGAACAAGAAGAAUGAGGACCUGCUGCAGAGCAUCCAGCGGAUGGAGGAGAAGCUCAAGAACCUCACUCGGGAGAACGUGGAGAUGAAAGAGAAGCUCUCAGCCCAGGCCUCACUGAAGCGCCACACGUCCCUAACCGACCUCAGCCUGACAAGGGACGAGCAGGAGAUAGAGUUCCUGAGACUCCAGGUGCUGGAGCAGCAGCACGUCAUAGACGACCUCUCACUGGAGAGAGAACGGCUGUUGCGCUCCAAGAGGCAUCGAGGGAAAAGCCUGAAGCCGCCCAAGAAGCAUGUUGUGGAGACAUUUUUUGGAUUUGACGAGGAGUCCGUGGACUCGGAGACUUUGUCGGAGAUGUCCUACAACACAGACAGGACCGACAGGACCCCGGCCACCCCUGAGGAGGACUUGGACGAGAGCACGGCCAGAGAAGAGGCCGACCUGCGGUUCUGCCAGCUGACCCGGGAGUACCAGGCCCUGCAGCGGGCCUACGCCCUGCUUCAGGAGCAGGUCGGGGGGACGCUGGAUGCUGAGCGGGAGGCCCGGACUCGGGAGCAGCUGCAGGCUGAUCUGCUGCGGUGUCAGGCCAAGAUCGAAGACUUGGAGAAGUUGCUGGCUGAGAGGGGACAGGAUUCCACGUGGGUGGAGGAGAAGCAGCUGCUCAUCAGGACAAACCAAGACCUGCUGGAGAAGAUUUACAGGCUAGAAAUGGAGGAGAACCAGCUGAAGAGCGAAAUGCAAGAUGCGAAGGAUCAGAACGAGCUGUUAGAAUUCAGAGUGCUAGAACUCGAAGAGAGAGAGCGGGGGUCUUCAGCCUUUAACCUCCGAAUCACCGCCUUCCCCGAGAACAACAGCAGCGCCCUCCAGCUGUUCUGUCACCAGGAAGGAGUGAAGGUAGCGUGCGGGGGGGCCUUGGCUGAGCCAAUGGCAAGGGAUCCCCGAGUACCAGGCUCUGGGGUCAAGGGGGAUCGUGUCCCUGGGCCAGGGAUAGCAUUGGUAGCACUGGAUGUCCAAGAUGCCCAUUGAAAGCCAUAGUUGGUUUUUUGAAAGGCCACCAAAUGUCCCCUCUAUCCAUAUGGAAAGCCUCAGUACUUGGGAUGUGGGCUAAAUGCACUCCACUCUAAAUGCCUGGCUCUGGCCUGAGCCCCUCCGAAGCCCAGUUUUGGGCUCUGAAAUGCAAAUGGCAGCCGCUGUGUAUGGAG
rnacentral:lncRNA from 1 species